GUUUACAUGUGUAAGGAUGGCAUUCAGCACCAAGGACAGGCAUAUUUACCUGUGUGUGGAGAGUGUUUAGUACCAGGGACAGGCAUUUACAUAU
rfam:Branchiostoma floridae genomic scaffold BRAFLscaffold_153, whole genome shotgun sequence.